rnacentral:rRNA from 1 species
GUUAUCAAAAACAUGUCUCUUUGAAUUAUGUUAAUAGAGAGUUGGGCCUGCUCGGUGAGGAUGAAAAUUUAACAGCUGCGGUAUUAUAACUGUACUAAGGUAGCAUAAUAAUUUGCCUUGUAAAUUAAGGCUAGAAUGAAUGGUUUGACGAAAAUUAAGCUGUCUCUAAUUUAUUUGUUAGAAAUUAAUUUUUAUAGUGAAAAAGCUUGGAUAAUUUAAAGGGACGAGAAGACCCUAUUGAGCUUGGUUAUUAAUAAUUAAAUGUAAAAUAAAUUGUUUUAUGGAUUUGUUUAGUAUAUAAUAUAUAAAUAUAUUUAAUUAAAUUAAUUUUGAUUGGGGUGAUCAAGGAAUAAAUAUAUUAAAAAGUAACUUCCUUAAUUUUUAUUAGAAAAUUUUAAUUGAGUAAUAAACCAAAGUUUUUGCUUAUAAGAUAAGUUACCAUAGGGGUAACAGCGUAAUUUUUUUUGAGAGUUCAUAUUGAAAAAAGAGAUUGCGACCUCGAUGUUGGAUUAAAAAUUUACCUUAAGGUGAAGAGGCUU